rnacentral:lncRNA from 1 species
ACUGUGUUGGUUGUACAAGAUCAAGACAGAAAUAUGUAUUUUUAGUUGACAAAUUCGUAUAUAUUUAUCAGGUACAAUAUGAUGUUUUGAAAACAUCAUAUAAUGAAAUAUAUAUUGUGGAAUGGCCAAAUCAAGCUAAUUAGCACAUGCAUUGCCUCACAUAUCAUAGAGGGAUGCAAAAAGAAGCACAAAUUUUUCAAAUAUUAGAGACAUAUCAUUGUUGGUUCUCAGUUGCUUUCCCCAACACAUGGUGAUAGGGAAGGGUGUAGGGCACCUUUGAUGAGAUCACAGGUGUGGACUAAGAGGGGCUUGUGUGGCUUGGAGGGGCCUACCCUGGGCUUCCUUGUGUUACCUGUGGAUGCCCCUUGCCAAUUGGCCAGAGGCAUCUGAGGUGAGAAAUAAGCCCAUGUUGGCAUCCUUGGCAUCCUUCAGGAAGACCUGAAGUGAGAGCCUUGGAAAGUCAGGAUCCAACAGGAGGACAUUUUGCUCUCUUGAGCAUUUGCUGUCAAGGAUUGCAGAUAUUCUCUGCAAAUGGAAAAUUCACCAAAGAAAUUGCAACAAUUCAGCAUUUUGUCAUUUGCCUCUGCCUGCCAUCUGCCUUCACAUUCCAAGCCUAAUUUUUACCCGUUAAUAUAGUCUAUGGCACAAAAUUAGAGAUAAACAUUGUGAAGAAAAAAAUGUAAAGAUGGCUAUCUUUAUAUAGUGUUAAUUUUUUGUUUAAUUGGAA